rnacentral:misc_RNA from 1 species
GAUGAAGAACGCAGCGAAAUGCGGUAAGUAGUGUGAAUUGCAGAAUUCAGUGAAUCAUCGAAUCUUUGAACGCACAUUGCGCCCCUUGGUAUCCCGAGGGGCAUGCCUGUUCGAGCGUCAUUUCACCACUCAAGCCUGGCUUGGUGUUGGGCGACGUCCUCUUUGGGGACGCGCCUCGAAACGCUCGGCGGCGUGGCACCGGCUUUAAGCGUAGCAGAAUCUUUCGCUUUGGAAGUCGGGGCCCCGUCUGCCGGAAGACCUGCUCGCAAGGUUGACCUCGGAUCAGGCAGGGAUACCCGCUGAACUUAAGCAUAUCAAUAAGCGGAGGA